CUAUAAUGCAGUCGAGCGGACAGAUGGGAGCUUGCUCCCUGAUGUUAGCGGCGGACGGGUGAGUAACACGUGGGUAACCUGCCUGUAAGACUGGGAUAACUCCGGGAAACCGGGGCUAAUACCGGAUGGUUGUCUGAACCGCAUGGUUCAGACAUAAAAGGUGGCUUCGGCUACCACUUACAGAUGGACCCGCGGCGCAUUAGCUAGUUGGUGAGGUAACGGCUCACCAAGGCGACGAUGCGUAGCCGACCUGAGAGGGUGAUCGGCCACACUGGGACUGAGACACGGCCCAGACUCCUACGGGAGGCAGCAGUAGGGAAUCUUCCGCAAUGGACGAAAGUCUGACGGAGCAACGCCGCGUGAGUGAUGAAGGUUUUCGGAUCGUAAAGCUCUGUUGUUAGGGAAGAACAAGUGCCGUUCAAAUAGGGCGGCACCUUGACGGUACCUAACCAGAAAGCCACGGCUAACUACGUGCCAGCAGCCGCGGUAAUACGUAGGUGGCAAGCGUUGUCCGGAAUUAUUGGGCGUAAAGGGCUCGCAGGCGGUUUCUUAAGUCUGAUGUGAAAGCCCCCGGCUCAACCGGGGAGGGUCAUUGGAAACUGGGGAACUUGAGUGCAGAAGAGGAGAGUGGAAUUCCACGUGUAGCGGUGAAAUGCGUAGAGAUGUGGAGGGAACACCAGUGGCGAAGGCGACUCUCUGGUCUG
rnacentral:rRNA from 1 species